rnacentral:rRNA from 1 species
CAUGCAGUCGAACGAAGCACUUUGGACAGAUUCUUCGGAUGAAGUUUUUAGUGACUGAGUGGCGGACGGGUGAGUAACGCGUGGGUAACCUGCCUCAUACAGGGGGAUAACAGUUAGAAAUGGCUGCUAAUACCGCAUAAGCGCACAGUACCGCAUGGUACGGUGUGAAAAACUCCGGUGGUAUGAGAUGGACCCGCGUUGGAUUAGCUAGUUGGCAGGGUAACGGCCUACCAAGGCGACGAUCCAUAGCCGGCCUGAGAGGGUGGACGGCCACAUUGGGACUGAGACACGGCCCAGACUCCUACGGGAGGCAGCAGUGGGGAAUAUUGCACAAUGGGGGAAACCCUGAUGCAGCGACGCCGCGUGAGCGAAGAAGUAUUUCGGUAUGUAAAGCUCUAUCAGCAGGGAAGAAAAUGACGGUACCUGACUAAGAAGCCCCGGCUAACUACGUGCCAGCAGCCGCGGUAAUACGUAGGGGGCAAGCGUUAUCCGGAUUUACUGGGUGUAAAGGGAGCGUAGACGGAAUGGCAAGUCUGAUGUGAAAGGCCGGGGCUCAACCCCGGGACUGCAUUGGAAACUGUCAAUCUAGAGUACCGGAGGGG